UCCGGCUUAUCACCGGCAGUUUCUUUAGAGUGCUCAACUAAAUGGUAGCAACUAAAGACGAGGGUUGCGCUCGUUGCGGGACUUAACCCAACACCUCACGGCACGAGCUGACGACAGCCGUGCAGCACCUGUGCACGCUCCCUUGCGGGUCCCUUCGCUUUCACGUCGGUACCACGUGCAUGUCAAGCCCAGGUAAGGUUCUUCGCGUUGCAUCGAAUUAAACCACAUGCUCCACCGCUUGUGCGGGCCCCCGUCAAUUCCUUUGAGUUUCAGCCUUGCGGCCGUACUCCCCAGGCGGGGCACUUAAUGCGUUAGCUGCGUUACCGAGGGAGUUACCCUCCGACAACUAGUCGACAUCGUUUAGGGCGUGGACUAC
rnacentral:misc_RNA from 1 species